CCUACGGGAGGCAGCAGUGAGGAAUAUUGGUCAAUGGGCGGAAGCCUGAACCAGCCAAGUCGCGUGAGGGAAUAAGGCCCUACGGGUCGUAAACCUCUUUUGUCGGGGAGCAAGGGCGGGGACGUGUCCCGGCCCGGAGAGUACCCGGAGAAAAAGCAUCGGCUAACUCCGUGCCAGCAGGCGCGGUAAUACGGAGGAUGCGAGCGUUAUCCGGAUUUAGUGGGUUUAAUGGGUGCGUAGGCGGGCUUUUGAGUCAGCGGUAAAAAUUCGGGGCUCAACCCCGUCCGGCCGUUGAAACUGGGAGCCUUGAGUAGGCGAGAAGAAGGCGGAAUGCGUGGUGUAGCGGUGAAAUGCAUAGAUAUCACGCAGAACCCCGAUUGCGAAGGCAGCCUUCCGGCGCCCUACUGACGCUGAGGCACGAAAGUGCGGGGAUCGAACAGGAUUAGAUACCCGAGUAGUC
rnacentral:rRNA from 1 species